rnacentral:piRNA from 1 species
GGGAUUUGUAAUGCCUUUCUACUUAGUUC